rnacentral:rRNA from 1 species
UCGAUUUGAAGGUUGUAGACUUUGAGCUGUGACUUUCGGAGCUAACGCGUUAAAUCGACCGCCUGGGGAGUACGACCGCAAGGUUAAAACUCAAAUGAAUUGACGGGGGCCCGCACAAGCGGUGGAGCAUGUGGUUUAAUUCGAUGCAACACGAAGAACCUUACCUACUCUUGACAUCCAAAGAAUCACAUAGAGAUAUGAGAGUGCCUUCGGGAACUUUGAGACAGGUGCUGCAUGGCUGUCGUCAGCUCGUGUUGUGAAAUGUUGGGUUAAGUCCCGCAACGAGCGCAACCCUUAUCCUUUGUUGCCAACGAGUAAAGUCGGGAACUCAAAGGAGACUGCCGGUGAUAAACCGGAGGAAGGCGAGGAUGACGUCAAGUCAUCAUGGCCCUUAUGAGUAGGGCUACAAACGUGCUACAAUGGCGUAUACAAAGAGAAGCAACCUCGCGAGAGUCAGCGAACCUCAUAAAGUGCGUCUUAGUCCGGAUUGGAGUCUGCAACUCGACUCCAUGAAGUCGGAAUCGCUAGUAAUCGUGGAUCAGAAUGUCACGGUGAAUACGUUCCCGGGCC